UUCAAUCCAAAAUUAAAACCUCCGUUCUUUUCUUUUAAACAACCAUGUACUAGUAAGGACCCACUAUAGGAAACCAUUAUUUUAUGUGAAUAAAAGAACAAUGCUUUUUAAAACCCUUAUCUGCACAUCACUACGAAAUGAAAACCAAAACCCCAACCCUGCAUUGAUUUUCUAAUUCGUAACUUUGUAAUCAUUGUCUAAUAAUUGCAUACUAAUCAUUACUAAGUAAACAAUCAUUCAAUUUAACCUAAUAAUUAUACUUAAAUUGUAUCUAACUUUUUUUUCUUUUUUUUUAUAAUUAAAAUGACCUUACAGGGCCAUGAUUUAUUGAGAAUAAAAAUAGAAAUGAACAAAAAAGCUAAUCUAGAAAGAGAAGGUGGAAAGUGAAUCUUCCUCCAAGCUAAGAGAGGUACGACUGAGUGUACAAAUCCUCUCUUGUGAGCAAAGAUUAAUCAAUGUUUGCCUUUGUGCGAUGAUAGUUUCUUCCAAUCGCCACACAGGUGUUAACAUAUCUUGAACGAUUUGGACCUCAAGCAUUGGAGCGGAUCUGAUCUGCUACAGGUCCAGUUAGCUGUCGGGGACAAGAUCCCAAAUCGGAGGGAAUAGAAUAUGUCAAUCUAAUGUUGAAGCGAGCCACCUCAGUUGAAGUACUGAUAUCAGACUAUGUGUACUUGGGAGUCAAGGUACAAUUUGGUCAUUGCGAUCACAUUAGAGAGGAGGGCAUCCCUGAGACCGUCUAGCUGGCUAAAAAAAGUCUGGGAUACUGAUCAACGUCCGGGUUGGAUGUUGCCUCAUGUUUUUGAUGAAUUGCGUCAGUAUUGGAACACAGACAAGUUUAAGGCAAUAUCAGAACGAGCCAAAAAGGCUAGAGGCAGUCUUAAGGGUGGCUCGUUGCACAUCGGAGAUGCAAAGACCGUUGGAACAAUUACAAGAGAGAUGGAAAAAUAAUUGGGGCGCACUCCCAUUGGACUGGAUGUUUUCAAGAAGACUCAUGUGAAGAAGAAAGAAAAUGAGUCGGAUCCGGAUGUAUGGGUAGAGGAAAGGGCCGAACGAACUUUUAAUGAGUUUCAUCAGUACGUCGCUGAGAAUCUAGAUAGUUUGGUCCAAAUGACACCUGAACUGUCCACCCAAAUUUGGACAGAAGUGGUAGGGAGGACACACAAGGGUAGAUUCUAUGGUCUAGGGACGACUCCAGUUAGGCUUAUAAGGUAUUGGAUCAUCACGCCAAGUCGAGGCACUUGACGGUGUUCAGAUUGCUGCUAUGUCGGCUCAAAUAGCACAACUUACAUUGGCACUGACAGAGUUGGAGCAGAGAAGAGUAGCUGAACAAUAAAGAAUGAGUGUGACUGUUCAGCAAAUCAAAUAACAAGUGAUGAACCUCGCUUGUCGACCUACUACUUCGGCUCCCGAGGACACCGACGACUACAAUGAGGAGGAGGAAGAGGAUUUUGUAGAUGCCACUCCCUAGUUUAGGUCUCUUUUGAAACACAUUU